UAUCUGGUUGAUCCUGCCAGUAGUCAUAUGCUUGUCUCAAAGACUAAGCCAUGCAUGUCUAAGUAUAAGUAUUAUACAGCGAAACUGCGAAUGGCUCAUUAAAACAGUUAUAGUUUAUUUGAUAAUCGAAUUUACAUGGAUAACCGUGGUAAUUCUAGAGCUAAUACAUGCUGGUAUGCCCGACUUUUGCGGAAGGGCGGUAUUUAUUAGAUAACAAGCCAAUAUUCCUUUGGUCUAUUGUGGUGACUCAUGAUAACUGAUCGAAUCGCAAGGCCUAUGGCCGCGAUAAGUCAUUCAAGUUUCUGCCCAUCAGCUUUCGAUGGUAGUGUAUUGGACUACCAUGGCGUUUACGGGUAACGGAGGAUUAGGGUUCGAUUCCGGAGAGGGAGCCUGAGAAACGGCUACCACAUCUAAGGAAGGCAGCAGGCGCGUAAAUUACCCAAUCCUGACUCAGGGAGGUAGUGACAAAGAAAUAACGGACCGAGGUCUUACGGCUUCGGGAUUGCAAUGAGCCGAAUUUACACCCCUUAACGAGAAUCGAUUGGAGGGCAAAGUCUGGUGCCACCAGCCCGCGGUAAUUCCAGCUCCAUAGCGUAUAUUAAAGUGGUGGAGUUAAAAAGCUCGUAGUUGGAUUCUGGGAGGUGCCAUUGUCCGCAAAGCGCGUGUGCAGCGGCGCCUUCAUCCUUUGUAACGCUCUUGGCAUUCAUUGCUGGGGGGGNUCAAA
rnacentral:rRNA from 1 species